CAGUAGCCGCGGUAAUACGAAGGGGGCUAGCGUUGCUCGGAAUUACUGGGCGUAAAGGGCGCGUAGGCGGACAGUUCAGUCGGGGGUGAAAGCCCGGGGCUCAACCUCGGAAUUGCCUUCGAUACUGGCUGUCUUGAGUAUGAGAGAGGUGUGUGGAACUCCGAGUGUAGAGGUGAAAUUCGUAGAUAUUCGGAAGAACACCAGUGGCGAAGGCGACACACUGGCUCAUUACUGACGCUGAGGCGCGAAAGCGUGGGGAGCAAACAGGAUUAGAGACCCCAGUAGUCCCUGUCUCUUAUAC
rnacentral:rRNA from 1 species